ensembl:snRNA U6 U6 spliceosomal RNA
GUGCUCGCUUUGGCAGUACAUGUACUAAAAUUGGAACAACAUAGAGAAGAUUAGCAUGGCCCCCAAGCAAGGAUGACAUGCAAAUUUGUGAAGUGUUCCAUACUUUU